CAACUUUCAGCAAUGGAUAUCUUGGCUUGGGCACCUGUGAAGGGCGCAGCGAAGCGUGAUAGUCUUUGUGAAUUGCAGAACUCCGCGAACCAAUGGCCUCCUGAACGUGCGUUGCACUCUCGGGAUUUCCUGAGAGCAUGUCUGCUUCAGUGCUUAACU
rnacentral:rRNA from 1 species